AUGCUGAAUCACUUGGAGGAUGCUCACGAAAGUGUUAAGUAUGAAAACAGCUAUUAUCAGAUCCCAGCCAAUGUAGGACUCCUACUGGAGGCUGACAGCCAAGUCUUAAUCAAUUUAAAGCAUCUUAAAUAUCUGCACGAUGACAUUUCAGGGAACUCUCAAAACCAGAAAACAACUGCGGCAUGGAGCUGGGAUACCCUGGUAACAAAGCAGUUCCCAGCCUUGAGAAGACAACUGGAUUCCAACACACAGGACCAGAAGUUCAAGAACCGAAAAUAAAUCACACCAGCACCAGUCUGCUUAAUUGUGAAAACUGCAGCCUGUGGCAUCCACAGCGCGAAACACAGGAAGCCAGGCGAGGGCAUCUUCUCUGCGCCCACGCACACCCGGUCUUUAUCUACAGAACUACGUCAGGAGGUCAGUAUUCAAAAGGGGCCUCCCAUCCCAGGUUAACUCUGCUACCUCAGUAACCCAAGAAACAUUUUAUUUAGACUCUUGUUAUUUGCACCAUAGGCAAGAGCACACCGAUCUUAACUGAAGAUAAACAGUGUUCUCUUACUUGGUUUCCUUUAAAUACACAAUAGGGCCAGCACUUUAUUCCUGAGCUACCUACCUCCCCUUCCCUACACUCAGGGUUAAUGCACCUGCUUUUCCAGUUGUUUUAGCGCUUGCAUAUUUGAUGCUCAAUGACUUCAGGCCCUGCCCACUGCCCUGCAUGGCACACUCCAGGGACCCUAACUAGGGACUUCCAAAGAGAGACUCCAGAGAGCAGGGAGGGGGGUGCAGGAUGUAACUCAGGUGAAGGCACCCAGGGGGAGAAAAGCCUGGAUCCACUGGCUGUUUAUGAUAUAAGAAAGACAUGGCUAGGGCCAGUGAUUUAGCUCAAUGCAAGGUCCUGAGUUUGAUUCCUGGUAUGGGGAGUGGGGGGAUCUCCAAGAUAAAGAGAUGUCUGAUGAGUGGAA